rnacentral:rRNA from 1 species
CAGCCGCCGCGGUAAAACGGAGGGUGCAAGCGUUAUCCGGAUUCACUGGGUUUAAAGGGUGCGUAGGCGGGCAGGUAAGUCAGUGGUGAAAUCUUCGAGCUUAACUCGGAAACUGCCGUUGAUACUAUCUGUCUUGAAUAACGUUGAGGUGAGCGGAAUAUGUCAUGUAGCGGUGAAAUGCUUAGAUAUGACAUAGAACACCGAUUGCGAAGGCAGCUCACUAAACGCUCAUUGACGCUGAGGCACGAAAGCGUGGGGAUCAAACAGGAUUAGAUACCCGUGUAGUCCCUGUCUCUUAUAC